rnacentral:tRNA from 1 species
AGUAAAGUCAGCUAAACAAGCUCUCGGGCCCAUACCCCGACAAUGAGGGUGAAACCCCUUCCUUUACUA